AUGUUUCUUCAAAUGAAGGUCAUCGGUUUGUAUGAAUGGUCCGGAAAUAAUUCAAUCAUUCCUGAAUUAUGGCUUGUCCCACAUAUUCUUCCAAUUCAUCCAGGACGAUUCUGGUGCUUUUGCCGGUUGAUUUACAUGCCAAUGUCUUAUCUCUAUGGUAAAAAGUUUGUUGGCCCAAUUACGCCAACAAUAUUGGAACUAAGAAAGGAGCUUUAUAGUGUACCCUACCAUGAGGUUGAUUGGAAUAAAGCACGUGAUACUUGUGCUAAGGAAGAUCUUCGUUAUCCACGCUCAUUGCUGCAAAAUGUUAUUUGGACAUGUCUUAAUAAAAUCGUUGAACCUGCGUUGAAUUGUUGGCCAGUUAAUAAGUUAAGGGAUAAAGCAUUGAAGAAUCUCAUGAAACAUAUGCAUUAUGAAGAUGAAAGUACAAAAUAUAUCGGCAUAUGUCCAAUCGACAAGGCACUAGGUAUGAUUUGUUGUUGGAUUGACGAUCCAAAUUCAGACGCAUUUAAGUUGCAUCUUCCAAGGAUCUAUGAUUAUUUAUGGCUUGCAGAAGAUGGCAUGAAAGCACAGGUAUACGAUGGUUGUCAAAGUUGGGAGAUAGCUUUUAUUGUACAAGCAUAUUGUUCAACAGACCUUGUUAAUGAGUUUGCUCCGACACUUCGGAAAGCCCAUGAGUUCAUUAAAAGAUCACAGAUUCUUGAGGACCAUCCUGAUAGUGAAGCUUAUUACCGCCACAGAUCAAAAGGUUCAUGGACACUUUCAACAGCGGAUAAUGGUUGGUCUGUAUCAGAUUGUACUGCAGAAGCACUUAAGGCCUUACUGCUUUUGUCAACGAUUUCUCCUAAUCUUGUGGGGGAACCCAUGAAAGGAGAAAGAUUGUAUGACGCAGUGGAUUGCGUGCUUUCUUUCAUGAAUAAAGAUGGUACCUUUUCUACGUACGAGUGCAAGAGAACUACAUCUAUGCUAGAGGUUCUUAACCCUUCUGAGUCUUUUCUGAACAUUAUUGUUGAUUAUGCAUCUGUUGAAUGCACAUCAUCAGUGCUUCAAGCCUUGAUUAUGUUUAGAGAGGUUUACCCGGGGUACCGUGAAGAAGAGAUAAGAAAGUGCAUAAAAAAUGCGUCCAAGUUUAUUGAAAAUAGCCAGCGAAAGGAUGGCUCAUGGUUUGGCACUUGGGGCAUAUGUUUCACUUAUGGAACAUUCUUUGCUGUAAAAGGAUUAGUUGCUUCUGGAAGAACUUACGAGAAUAGUUUCUCCAUAAGCAAAGCAUGUGAAUUUCUAUUGUCAAAGCAGCUAAGUACAGGUGGAUGGGGAGAGACUUAUCUUUCUAGCGAAACUGAGUCCUACAUGAGCGCUGCUACUCCUCAUGCAGUUAACACUGCUUGGGCAAUGUUGGCUUUAAUCGAUGCUGGGCAGGUUGAACGAGAUCCCGCACCACUAUAUCAUGCUGCUAAAGAAUUGAUCAACAUGCAACUAGAAACAGGAGAGUUUCCACAACAAGAACAUGUUGGAUGCUUCAACUGCUCCUUCUACUUCAAUUACGGCAACUACUCCAACUUAUAUCCCAUUUGGGCUCUUGGAGAGCUUCGUCGCCGACUACUUGCAAAGAACUGA
rnacentral:rRNA from 1 species